rnacentral:SRP_RNA from 1 species
CGACAAGAAGGUGAAGGUUAUGAAGAAGUCUUUCGAGCUGUUCAAGCAGGAGAUGGCUUUGUUCCUCACCAACCUGAAGCCCCGCGGGUUGAGUUCGAAGGGGUUGAUGCACACCUCCGCCUCCUUCUCGCUGGACCCGGUGACGAAGCU